rnacentral:rRNA from 1 species
GUGGGGAAUCUUCCACAAUGGACGAAAGUCUGAUGGAGCAACGCCGCGUGAGUGAAGAAGGGUUUCGGCUCGUAAAGCUCUGUUGUCGGGGACGAAUGUGCAGUAUUUGAAUAAAGUACUGUAAUGACGGUACCUGACGAGGAAGCCACGGCUAACUACGUGCCAGCAGCCGCGGUAAUACGUAGGUGGCAAGCGUUGUCCGGAAUUAUUGGGCGUAAAGGGAGCGCAGGCGGGAAGGUAAGUCGGUCUUAAAAGUGCGAGGCUCAACCCCGUGAUGGGAUCGAAACUAUCUUUCUUGAGUGCAGGAGAGGAAAGUGGAAUUCCUAGUGUAGCGGUGAAAUGCGUAGAUAUUAGGAGGAACACCAGUGGCGAAGGCGACUUUCUGGACUGUAACUGACGCUGAGGCUCGAAAGCCAGGGGAGCGAACGAGAUUAGAAACCCUGGUAGUCC